GACAGAGGGUGCAACCGUUGUUCGGAAUUACUGGGCGUAAAGCGCGUGUAAGCGGCUUGGCAAGUCGGGUGUGAAAGCCCCGGGCUCAACCUGGGAAGUGCACUCGAAACUGCUUGGCUUGAGUACUGGAGAGGGAAGCGGAAUUCUCGGUGUAGAGGUGAAAUUCGUAGAUAUCGAGAGGAACACCGGUGGCGAAGGCGGCUUCCUGGACAGUUACUGACGCUGAGACGCGAAAGCUAGGGGAGCAAACGGG
rnacentral:rRNA from 1 species